AAAAGUGAAUCAAAUCUUUUUUUUCUAAUUUGAUAGUUGCUUGUAUAAUAUAAUAUAUUUCAGUUAGUUAUCCGGUAGAUAAGCUUUAAAAGUAAGUUUGGAUUCCGAACACACCUGAUUUUUGUGUUUAUUUUUAUAAUUUCAGCUUUAACCUAACCUAACAGCCUAACAUAAUUAGAUUCAAAGAUGAUUUUAUCGUUUUUAUUUCCAUUUUGGAAGAAGGAAUGAAGGAAAUUUACAGAUAUGACAAACAUCUAGCUAGAAGAUGGAAUCCUGCGUUCUUAAAAGAAAAAAAGCUAGUUCCAGAAGUAAGCUACCAAUAAUAAACUAGAGAAUGUAUUACAAGAAAGAACAACGCUAAUACUCAACAUAGCUCAAUUGCCCCAGAUAAAAAAA
rnacentral:lncRNA from 1 species